AGAGUUUGAUCCUGGCUCAGGACGAACGCUGGCGGCGUGCCUAACACAUGCAAGUCGAGCGGGGUCCAACCAGUGGCAACACUGGGGAAGACCUAGCGGCGAACGGGUGAGUAACACGUGAGAAACCUACCCCGAAGACUGGGAUAACUCCGGGAAACCGGAGCUAAUACCGGAUGCCCUCACCAGGCCGCAUGACCAGGUGAGGAAAUGGACUCCGCUUCGGGAGGGUCUCGCGGCCUAUCAGCUUGUUGGUGAGGUAAUGGCUCACCAAGGCUUCGACGGGUAGCUGGUCUGAGAGGACGAUCAGCCACACUGGGACUGAGACACGGCCCAGACUCCUACGGGAGGCAGCAGUGGGGAAUCUUGCGCAAUGGGCGAAAGCCUGACGCAGCAACGCCGCGUGGGGGAUGACGGCUUUCGGGUUGUAAACCCCUUUCAGCAGGGACGAUAGUGACGGUACCUGCAGAAGAAGCCCCGGCCAACUACGUGCCAGCAGCCGCGGUAAUACGUAGGGGGCAAGCGUUGUCCGGAUUUAUUGGGCGUAAAGAGCUCGUAGGCGGCUUGGCAAGUCGGAUGUGAAAAUUCCAGGCUCAACCUGGAAACGCCAUUCGAUACUGCUAUGGCUUGAGACCGGCAGGGGAACACGGAAUUCCUGGCGUAGCGGUGAAAUGCGCAGAUAUCAGGAGGAACACCAGUGGCGAAGGCGGUGUUCUGGGCCGGAACUGACGCUGAGGAGCGAAAGCGUGGGGAGCGAACAGGAUUAGAUACCCUGGUAGUCCACGCCGUAAACGUUGGGCACUAGGUGUGGGACCCUAUCGACGGGUUCCGUGCCGUAGCUAACGCAUUAAG
rnacentral:rRNA from 1 species